rnacentral:rRNA from 1 species
CAGUCGCCACGGGAAUACGUAGGGUGCGAGCGUUAAUCGGAAUUACUGGGCGUAAAGCGUGCGCAGGCGGUUCGUUAAGACAGAUGUGAAAUCCCCGGGCUUAACCUGGGAACUGCAUUUGUGACUGGCAAGCUAGAGUAUGGCAGAGGGGGGUGGAAUUCCGCGUGUAGCAGUGAAAUGCGUAGAUAUGCGGAGGAACACCGAUGGCGAAGGCAGCCCCCUGGGCCAACACUGACGCUCAUGCACGAAAGCGUGGGGAGCAAACAGGAUUAGAUACCCCCGUAGUCCCUGUCUCUUAUAC